UAGGGAAUCUUCCGCAAUGGACGAAAGUCUGACGGAGCAACGCCGCGUGAGUGAAGAAGGAUUUCGGUUCGUAAAACUCUGUUGUUAGGGAAGAAAAAAUGUAUAGUAACUAUAUACAAAAGAGACGGUACCUAACCAGAAAGCCACGGCUAACUACGUGCCAGCAGCCGCGGUAAUACGUAGGUGGCAAGCGUUGUCCGGAAUUAUUGGGCGUAAAGCGCGCGCAGGUGGUUUAGAAAGUCUGAUGUGAAAGCCCACGGCUCAACCGUGGAGGGUCAUUGGAAACUAAUAAACUUGAGUGCAGGAGAGAAAAGUGGAAUUCCUAGUGUAGCGGUGAAAUGCGUAGAGAUUAGGAGGAACACCGGUGGCGAAAGGGCUUUUUGGCCUGCAACUGACACUGAGGCGCGAAAGCGUGGGGAGCAAACAGG
rnacentral:rRNA from 1 species